rnacentral:ncRNA from 1 species
UCUUAUCAAGAGUGGUUGAGGGACUGGCCCUAUGAAACCCAGCAACCUGUUAAUAGUUAAAAGUUAGCAGUUAGAAGUUUAUAUAAAAACUACUAAUUAAAAAUUCAAAACUAUCAACGUGGUGCUAAUUCCUGCAGCUUUAUUAGCUGAGCGAUAAGA